CAAAAUUAAUUAAAAGAAGGCUCCUCCAGGAAACGCACAUAAGAGCUGAUCACUCAGCGUUUUGAGCCCUCUCAGAGGUGUUAGACCCCUGGAGAGAGAACCUGAGGCCCAUGUGAGAGGCGGGAAAUGACUCAGUGGUGAAUCCCUGUGCAGUCCUGCCCACAAUCAGCACACUCUGAUCCAGGACACUGACCCCUAGACCACAGGUCGGUUGCUUCUUGAAGAGAGAAAAUGUGAAACCAAUCCUUUAAUGUUGGAGAGAUAAGGAGAAUGAAGCCAUCUGGGCACCCUGGUUUGUUUACGGCACCUGUACUUGCAAGUAUGCAUGUUAAGGAAAAGAUUCAAAACGUUCAGGUAUGCUAGGAUGGCAGAUGGUUAUGGCCUAUAUUUGUGCAUGUGUUUUAACUAAAGUGCCACUUGCAUCCUGGAAAAUUCCUAGCUACAGUGGUCAACCUGCAACUAUGAAUUUAAAAUUCCAGACUCCAGGUCUCUGUCUGUCUGUUUUCUCUUCUGCCAACUCUGAACCUGGUAACUUCUCCUAUUGCUCUUGAGAUAGAGACAAUGUUUAUGGUAUUUGUAAUUCAAGGCUAGUUGGAGGUCUUAUAGCCAGUAAGAUCUUACAGCCACUAAGAUACAAAAAUUGAACAAUCAUUCUCCACUGAUGGAAAGAAAAGGAAAAAAAGUAAAGGAGAAAAGAGCUUUUACAACUCAAACUGCCACCAUGCUGUUGGUGCUUUGUAAAGGAUGUUCUCCAUUCAUGGCCUCUUCCUCCCCAAAUUGAUCUCAAUUGCCUUUUCGGGCCAUUUGUGAAAUGAAAGAGGAAACCGAACUGUCCUGUUUGUAGAUAAAUGAGAGACUGAGAUUCCUCAGCUCCGAAGAGAAAGGGCAUUUACCCGUCCCAGCCAAAGGUAUGCCUGGGUGACUGGGGGUGGGAGUGGGAGUGCCUGGGGUGACUGCCCGUGGUGUGACGUGGCCCUAUAGGGAAUCCCCAACAAGAUUAAUUAAAAGAAGGCUCCUCCAGGAAACGCACAUAAGAGCUGAUCACUCAGCGUUUUGAGCCCUCUCAGAGGUGUUAGACCCCUGGAGAGAGAACCUGAGGCCCAUGUGAGAGGAGGGAAAUGACUCAGUGGUGAAUCCCUGUGCAGUCCUGCCCACAAUCAGCACACUCUGAUCCACGACACUGACCCCUAGACCACAGUUUGGUUGCUUCUUGUAAAGAAAAACGGGAAACCAAUCCUCUAAACAUGAGGAGAGACAAGGAGAAUGAAGCCAUCUGUGCACCCGGUUUGUUUAUUGCACCUCCUCUUGCAAGUAUAUGUGUAAACAGAGAUUAAAAAUGUGCAGGUAUGCUAGGGCUGCAGCUGGUUAUGGCCUAUUCUUGUGCUCGUGUUUCAAGUGAAGGGCCACUGGCAUCUAGGAAAAUUCAUAGCUCAAGUUGUCAAUCUGCCCCUAAGAAUUUAAAAUUCCAGUCUAUCUAGCUCUCUGUCUGUUUUCUAUUCUGCCAACUCUGAACCUGCUAACUUCUCCUACUGCUCUUGAGAUAGAGACAAUGUUUAUGGUAUUCAUAAUUCAAGGUUAGUUGGAGGUCUUACAGCUAGUUCAAGUUAAGAUACAAAAAUUGAACAAUCAUUCUGCAUUGAUGGAGAGAAUAGGAGAAAAAAAUAAAGGAGAAAAGGGGUUUUAAAGCUCAGACUCCCACCGUACUGUUGGUGCUCUGUAAAGGGUCUUCUCCAUUCAUGGCCUCUUCCUCCUCAAAUUGAUCUCAGUUGGCUUUUGUGGCCAUUUGUGAAAUGAAAGAGGAAACCGAACUGUCCUGUUUGUAGAUAAAUGAGAGACUGAGGUUCCUCAGCUCCGAAAAGAAAGGGCAAUUACCCGUCCCAGCCAAAGAUACACCCGGGUGAGUGGCGGUGGGAUUGGGAGUGCCUGGGGAGACUGUCUGUGGCGUGAGGUGGCCCUAUAGGGAAUCCCCAACAAGAUUAAUUAAAAGAAGGCUCCUCCAGGAAACGCACAUAAGAGCUGAUCACUCAGCGUUUUGAGCCCUCUCAGAGGUGUUAGACCCCUGGAGAGAGAACCUGAGGCCCAUGUGAGAGGCGGGAAAUGACUCAGUGGUGAAUCCCUGUGCAGUCCUGCCCACAAUCAGCACACUCUGAUCCACGACACUGACCCCUAGACCACAGUUCGGUUGCUUCUUGUAAAGAAA